CCACCUCUGCUGUCAUGGGCCAACAUAAUGAGAUAGGAGGCAUUACUUUCAGAGCAGCCCUCAUACAUUCAAAAAUCCAGCCAUACCUAUUUUAACCGUUUCUUUUCAAGUAUUAAGCAGCUACAUUCUUGCAUAUGAUGGAACUGAAUGGGACAAUGAAAUACAAACAAGAAGUCAGCUCUGGGCUUUUCACUUCUAAUAAUCAAAUUCAUAGGACAAUAGAGAAGCUUGUAUCAGGGAUACCACCUUCGUGAUUUUAAAAUGCUGUUGUAGAUUUUAUGUUAUGAAAAUUAAACAAAUGAGAAUGAAAUUUAAGAUAACACAUUAGAGUUUCCAUAUAAAUUUAAUAAUUACUUUUAUAAUCAGGUGAUUUCCCACUGAUACUAUCUAUAGUAUAAAUGAAUUAGCAUAAUGUGUGAUUUGCUGAGCUUGUCCAGAAACCACUUUUUAAACUGCAGAUUUUGACACACAUUUUUAAUCACAUCCCUAGCAGUUAAAACAUUAUCAAGUUUCAUGAUCAAGUUUCUACAUCUGAUAUGAAAGAAAUAGAGACACAUUUUAUCUUCUUGCACUACAUUUUUGCAACAUAUUUGAGUUUUAUCAUUAAAGUACAACUGAAGGCAUGCUUUUGUUUCCAACCAAUAUGCCCCCACUGAACAGUGGAGGAAUCCCACUAUUCCCUUGGGAGAUAACAUAGAACAGUGCUGCAGUGAUGGGACAAGAUGCAGGGAAGGUGGAGGGAUGAAAAAACACAGCAAUCUGAAUCUUCCCUACCAGGCCUGCACCAGGCAGCAUCCAUCUUAGUCAUAACAGCUCCUCAACCGCACUUCAUAAGCUAUUGCACAGCACACCUCUCACAAGAAUAGGCAUGUUUUCCAUGAUUGUCUCAUUUUACAUAACCAGAAUUUGUUCACUCUCACUGUCUCAAUAUAAUGAAUGAGAAAUCAAACGAGUCAUCAAGAUUCAUACCAUUACACUUUUUUAUAACCAGUUUUUCCAAGAAUCCCCAACGGCAUCAAGAAAGAUGCGGACUGUUUUUGAUUACCUGACCUUAAGAAGGAGCAAACAAGUCCAAGAAAUAUUAGCAUAAAAUUUCAGUAAUAGAUUUAUAAUGUAUUCAAGGAGGUGAACAAAGAUAAGGAAGCUCAAAACACAGUUAAUUCCUUCUGAAGCCUAUUAAGAAUUCUUUGGUAAAAAGGAAAAACCCUUUUUAAGGUAGACUAUAUUUGAUAUACUCAGAAGAGAAGAAAACUACACAAUACUUAAGGUUCAACUUUGUAGAUCAGCAAGGCUUAAGAGAAAACCAGUCCUACACUAGUAAUUCUCCAUAUUAAAAAUUUUAAAACAAGUAAUUUAUACCAGAGCUGUUUCCCAUCAAUUUUACUCUGAAGAUCUUGUAAGACAGCAUGCUCUCUUCAUCCAGGCCAACUACUUGCUGGCAGAAUGAUCAGCAGAAAUAAAAACCAGAAGUUCCAUAUAAAAAAUAUUUUAACUUCUCCAGUUUGCUUUCAGUGUGGCUUAGCUAAAAGCUAAUUUACAUACUAAAAGCCCUUCUUAAACCCUCAAAUUCAGAUAUUAACAUUUUCAGCUAGCAAAGUCACUUGCAUUAAUCUAUUUUUCUAAAUUAGGUGCCUAGAAUUUGCAGAUGAAGCUACAUUCUUUAAUAACAGAAACAGACUUUUCAGUUCUGAUUUACCUGCUAAAUCUCUUCCUGGAAAACUAGCCAGCAGAAGAUGCAUCGUAUGUACAGAUUUCUUGGCUGUACUGUAACACAUCACCAGGAGCUGUCACUUCAGCAUAAGGAACAUCAAAUUAUGCUAAGAGGAAAGCAGAACAGCCAGCAAAGAAUAAGACGAGUCAGCUUAAUCAAACUCACAAUCAUUACAUCUUUUUCAUUAUAGAGAGGAGAAAACAAAAUAAAGUCUUGAAGACAUAUUAGUGCAACAAAGACUGAAGUCACAAAAAUUACCAAACAUUGGAAUUACCUUCCAAGCAUCUAUAUUCAACAUAACCAUUGAGAUUUAUAUCUAGACAGCAAUGUAUAUUGCAUAGAGAACUGUGCACAUAAGAGGACUGUCAGAAACCAGCAGAUUUGAAAGAGCUCUUAAAUUCACCAGGGGAAUGAGAAUCAAAGAGGUAUAGAACUGCAGCCACAAAGGUUUGGAUUUAGUGUUGCUGCCUUCUACCAUUAGGAGAAACUCACUAACUUUUCUCUCAACUGGCAAAGGAAUAAGCAGUUUCUGUGGCUUUCCUCUGAAGAAACAGCUUUCAUAGCCAAGGCAUGGAGGACCUGAAUUCAAAUUCCAAGUGUACUGAUGAGAUUUUGAAACCAAAUCUACUCCAUAUCCACUACCUGGUAUGCCAGCGCAAGGAAUACUCUCAAAUAUUUCUCCAUAGGUUUCUGCACUUUGCAAAGAGCAAUCGAGUAUUCAGCUGGCAGCAAAGAGUAUGUCCAGCUACAGCACAGUAACAGCCACCAGCCUCUCUUGUCUUGGGCAUUUGCUCCAAUGCCAAGCAGCUUGCAGCAGGAGAAUUGCCAGGGCAGAGAGCUGCAGGUGCCUGCAACCAGCUGUGCAAGGAGUACUGAAGUGAGGCCAGCACCAAUCUGACCCAGGCACUGGGAAACUCAUUUGACAGAUGUUCUGGCAACCAGGCCUUUGGGCAACUCCCUGAUGAAAUAAAUUCUGAAUAAGGCUUUUGAGGACAGUUGUUUAAUUUAGGUAGUCUGGGCUAGCACUUAAGCUAGCUGGGCAUAUAUUUUAAGAAUAUAAUGCAGCUUGAUAAGGUUUCAUUAUGCUCAUUUUUUAAUGGUGGUUUUAAAUGACUACUGUAAAUAGCUUGCUUACUUAUAAGCGUGACUGGAAAACUUACUCUGUUCUUACACAAUCAUAUUUAUCCGAAUUUCUUUUAAAGAUCCAAAGAUCCUCUAGAAACCAGAAAUGCACUAAAGAGGCAUUCAUGGUUGUAGAGAUUUGUUGGCACACUUGCAUUACUUGUUCUGAGCUUCGUUUUUAGUAUCGCACCAUUUUAGUUUUCAGUGUGCCAACUCUGCAUAGAUAUCAUCUCUGUGGUAGAAGCAGGGUGCAGCUGAACGGCUUCAUAGAUAUUCUGCUGGUUGGUGGUGUGUUACAUGUGCAAAGCAGUUUGGUGUUGCUAUUUAGACUUGAUUGGCAGCAAAAUGCUUCUUGUUUAAAAUAGAAUUUCCAAAUUCACUAAACACAAGUCUUGGCAAGUGAAGAACUGAACGUCAAGUACCACGGUAUGUGAGCAUAAAGACAUCGCAUACAGUAUAAAAUACCAAAGGAAAUUAAAUAAGACCUUGAUACCAUUUCAGUCCAGUUCAACUCUUUAACCACGCAGGAUGGCGAGAUGUUUGUUACAUAACAGCAAAUUCAGACAGCUUUUUUUUUUUCUUUUAAAUCCUGCCAUCUUUACAGUGAAGAGCAGAGGAUUAGACAUCCACAGAUUCUGAGAGACAGAGAGAGGAGCCAGCAGCAAUAUUUAGCACAGAGUGAAUGAUUCCUGGCACCAUUUAGCUUCUCUGCAUCAGGAAUCUGGCAGCCUCUGUUCAAAGAUGCUGAUUGAAUAGUUAAUAUCAGUGUUAUACAUAGACUCAAAACGAGCACAAAAAAUGAAUGAGAACAACUAGGAUGUAAGCCCCAAACUUACUUCCAUCUCUAUAUAAAAUACAUAUAUAUGUAUAUAUAUACAGAAAAUGGUGGGAGCAGGGUUUAAAUACUGGGCAGAAUGCCAAAGCAAAAAGAAUGCAGACAAAGGGCAUAGUUCAUCUUCUGACUACACAUCUGUGAAAAUACCUUUAUAAAGUAUAUAUCAAACUUUUUUAGGCACAAGAAAGCCAUAAUGCAAUAUAAAUUGUUAGUUCUUAAUUUUCACAAGACAGCAUAAUCUGCAAGGUACAGAAUGUUUUUUAAUCAGUAGAAUUAUCCCUAUUUUCUCUCAGAAUUAUAAAGCUCUAGCAAGUCUUUAUAACCAUACAGAUAGCACAUUUAGUCUUUCACUAUACUUAGGAAUUUCAAACUACAGAAACCACAACUAAUCACCCACCAAGUCUGUGUGGAAAUUUGCUGAUCAUUUGAGAAAAGCAGCCUUGUUUUACCGCCAAAUGUCAAAAUGGAACUAAGUGGUGAGAUGCACACACUGAAUACUCUUGCACUCUAAAGUUUGGCAGAAAUAUAUUUAUGCACACACAAGGACAUGGUUACAGACUUGCACUUUGAGAAACCAUGCAAGAAGACAAACUAAAUUGGUUGACAUCCUUAAAGGGAAGAGGCUUGUAAAAAAAAUAAAUACACCAUACUGGACCACAUCAAAUGGUCCAUCAGAAGCACACUUCUCGCAACUGAGAUUUUUUAGUCCAUGCAGUGAAAUUCUUCCCAUUUGUCUGUCAUAACCAAGCACCUGAAAUGCACUUUUAGAGCUAAUCCUGCAGCAUAGGCCCAACCUAGGUGAGAUUUCUCAGACCACAGAUGUGCCCAAUCAAACCCACUUUCUCAUUUACUUCAUCUUUUCAAUCAUGUGUACACACAACUACAGAAAAUUAGUUACCCAAAAAUAAUACAAACAAGUUUCCUAAUGGAACAAACGGAACGAAACUGUAAUGGUUGUUCCUAUGUUACUUGAGGUGGAUUAUUUCUCUGCUUAUCCCCCAAGAUAUUGGCAUGGCAUACUCAGUCUGUACUGACUCAUUUUCUGCUGUUGCUUCCUUCAUUCAUGAUCAGCUUUCACAUUUUGUGAUUUCAUCCAGUAACUGAAGUUUGAAUGCUAGGGAGGCAUAGCUGCCCACAUAGCUAUGUGUUUUAACUCUGUUUCAAGGUUUUCCUUUGUCAUAUUUGCUAGAUAUUUAAUUCUUUCUAGACUACUUAGUCUCCACCUCUUUUGAUUAUACAAGGCUAUGAAGGACAAUAUAUUUUCACUGCACAGGGACAGUGAUGCCACAGAGUGUGUGUGACAUGAAUGAGAGAACCCAAAGGGAAAUGAGGUUCAAGAUCCCAAUCUGAACAGCAAGCAGAAGUCAAAAUCCGAGUUUGAAACUGUUCAAGACAGCAAAUGUUAGUGAAAGUGCUUUCUCUAACCCUUCUCUCUCUUUUCUUUCCCCCCCUAGCAAGCUCUCAUACAAGUAUCCUGAAGCAAAGCAGCUUGCAUGUGUGCAAACACACACAAGCUCUUGGCCUCCUAUGUUUCUGUUUUAGGGGCAGCUUGUCCAGCUUGAAGCCAUUUGCUCUGUAACUUCUCAAAAAGAAGUCGCUGUCAUGCAUUUGACUGAGGAUGUGAUGGCAUUGCUCAUGUCCUCUUUUUAGAGGGCAGCUCUGUUGUUUUACUCCACAUAAGCUUAGUAUCCUUGAUAAGCACACAUGCAGGCUUUCCCCCCCAAAAAAUACUCAGCCAUGGCCUUCCUGUUUCUGCUGUUACCACAUGCCAAUAAAAUCCAAAUCUCAUCUAGUGAGGAGGAAAAAAAAAAAGAAAAACACACACCCAACAAGAAAUGGAUUCAUAUAAAUAUUAUCAGAAGACUCUUACACUAUGUAGGCAAUCUAAUAUAAUUGUAAACACCUUACUAAGAUUCUGUUCCUAACUCUCAGAUACACCAUUUAAGAUACAUGUUGGAGAGUAAGCACUGGAAGGAAGGCAAAGAACAGGAGAGGGAAAAAGCAAAGCUAUUAUAGGAAUGUGGUAAUGCUAUGCUACCCUUUUUUUUUUUCUUUAAUUCAGCAGGAGUUUGUCAUUACUGCAAUAGCACAGUGACUCCUUUUACACUGAAUAAUUUCCAGCAUUUCUGUAUAAUUACAUCUCAGGUACACUAAAGAUGUAUACUGAAAACAAUUUUCUAAUCUUGCAAGCAUAGGCAUAUAGAAGAGCAAGAAAGGCAAGAAAGGCCACUAAGCUUCAACUUGCCUUGGCCCUUACAUUUCUGAAGGAUACUUCCCCCUCUCCAAAUAUCUGAGAAAUUCACUGCCUCUGCACAGAGGAAGGAAAACACUGAAAGAACAGGACUAACUUGUACAAGCACAAUAAUUUCAGUUUCUAUUUUAUGUUUUACAAAUUUUUGUGUAUAUAUGUUUUUCUCAAAUAGUUUGAAUGAAAUGCAAGCUCCAGAGGGAAAAAAAUAUGAUCAAGUUAGCUUAUUUAUUCUCUUGUUGAAGUGUUUUCAUACAUUUGGGAAGAAAAUAGAUCUCAGAAGACAUUUUUCCUAAAUUUCCUUGCAGUUUUUGCCCCCAAAGUGUGGCAAAUCACUAAGUGUUUUAACUACUGCUAGUUCUCAUUCGUUCCUUCAUUAUAUCUUACAUUAGUGAUGCUAUGAACAGCAAACACGUGACAAUAAUACUCAACUCUUAUGUAAGAUACAGCCUAGACCUUCAUAUGGCAGUUAAGCAUGAUCCACAUUUCACAAGAUAAAUGAGAUCCAGUGACAUGAACAGACUGGUUAUAUGCUUUCUUUGGUCAUAUUAUAUUCUUUCUUCCAUCCCAUUCAGUAAUUCAUUUCUUGUAUCCUCUCUUACAUAGCCUUAAGGGAUGGUGUGUGGAACCUUAAACCAGUUUCAAUCAAUGGGAUGAGGUCAGCCUUGAGAUUCGUGUGACAGGCAAGAUUAAAAUGUGCUUGCCCCAAGUCUAAGCUGUCUGAAUAAGGCACCAUGUUACGCUGCAUGCUUGUUGCCAGGUUGAAUUGAAAACAAAAGUUAUAUUAAAAGACAGCCAGAUCAUUCUUUCUCCUUUCUGCCCCCUCCUCAAGUGCCUAAGGUCAUUUUCCCUAACAAAAAUGAAAGUCCUUUUUGGAAGUGUUUUUGUGCUAAACAACAGUGGUUAAUUUCUUGCAACUAAUUAGUUAUUCAAGUGAAAGUAUAAUGAUCCUCCAACAUGAUUGAAAGUGCUUCAACCGAGUUUCCUGCUAACAGCAUACUUCUAGAGAAGACGCAAUAAAUCAGCAGGGUUAUGGAAAUCUUUAAAACAAAGCAUGUCUACAACAGGAACCCAUUAAAGAUGUAGCCAUGUAAUAUUUAUGUACCUAGCUGACUUGUGCUUUUAACCUAGCACUUUCAGCCAUAGCUUUUAGCACCUGGGUCAUUCACUAAGAAUGAAAUUCACUGUAUCUGCUAAAAGCCAGCAUAAUGACUCUGCAUUAGGUGUUCAGACAGAGUUUACAUAGGAUUUAAGCAAUGGAGCCCUCCCACUGAAUGGAAUCUCAUCCUGAGUUUUCCCAUAGAAAAAUACAAAUAGAACACCUUUACACUGCAUAGUAAUUUCAAUGAAACUCCCCAGAUGCCAUUAGAAGGAUUUCAGAAAUACCAUGAGGUAAAGAUGUUAAGAACAAAAAAAAAACAAAACAGAACAAACAAAACAAAGAGAUCAUUAACAACAGAAACCCCCACACUCUUUCAGAACAGCCAGCAUCACCUAUGGUUGUAUAGAUAAUGGUUUUGUUAUUGUUAGUGGUUACAGAGGCUGAUCUCUAAACCUAGUGCUCUCAGUAAAGGCACUGCCUGCGUUGGAAUCUUUUUUGACAUACUACUGACCAGUAUAGUCCAGCUAUUUAAAUAUACUCAGAACAGGAAAAGAGCAAGACUCAGUUUUGUGGAAAUACAUUUUUAUUAUGUUUGGGCCUUUUGGAUGUUACAGAUGUAUAAAUCUGAUAGCCUUAGAUCUCCAAAAGAAAGAGAAAUCCUCUUUUCUCCCAUCACAUUCUACAGCUUGUGUUGUGUGUUUACAUGAAUUUUUAAAGCACACAGAAGAACAUGUGAAGCAAAGGGAAUGUUUUAAUAAUCCCCACAUCCUUUAGCUAUACAUAUUUUCCUUCAUCCGAUUCUGUCAUUUACUUUAUUGCCAGGCUUCUAGUCCAUCUCCCACAGUUUUAAUAGACAGAAUUUUGAUUCAUGAAUCAGUUUCAGUCAAGUUCCCAGAACUUGGCUUUUUUUCUCCGCCUCCUCCUGGCUUAGUCUUUCUUCCUGCAGCAGAUAACUACAAAGAGGGAAACCUCACUGCUGUGGGGCUGGAAGGAGGAAACUACAGGAAAGUGUGUAGAAACUGCAUUUCCUGGGAGUCUAGGAAAGGGGAGAAAUUAGCACAAAAAAAGGGCCUGAAGGACAGAGAAGAGAUUAAACAUCGCUUUCCCUUCCUAAUAAAAUCAUCUUUGCUCUCACCAUAGGUUUUUGGGCCAAUGACCACUUUCAACUUGCACUUUCUGUUGGAAAAAUAAGAGUCCAGUUUAAUUUUGUCAAUAGAAAGUUUAAAGCGGUCAUUGGAGCACAAAGUGAUUUUCAAAAGGCAGCUGAACUGAACAGGGACAAGGAUGAGGAUGCUGGGACAGCCACAAAAGUACAGGCAAAUUAAAAAUACUGCAAGUGUACCAAUUUUCAACAAAAUAGAUAAAGCUUUUAUAAGAGUUCCUGCAAUUCUGUAAUUUUUGUUGUGGGCUUUGUUUAUACUUAAAAACACAAUUGCCAGAGCAGAAAACAAGUGUUUUAUGUGUUGGUCUUUAUAUAUAGGAAAACAACAGUCAAUGAACUAGGCAUUAACUUCAUGAACAUGUAGGAUUACUCUUCACCCAUGCUGUAAAUCAUUGGAUCUAGUACAAGUAAUUGUACUGCAAUGGUUUUUGCUACGCUAAGCAUUUCAGCUGUGUGCCCAGUCCUUCCAAGUCUGAGCUUAUGCUGUAUUCAGAGCUUUGUGGGGUUUAGUCAAUAGCAUGUUUGAUUUGAAUGGUUUUUCCUAGAUAACAGUAACACAAAUCCAUAACUUGUGUAACAAAAACCCAAAGCUUGUUUAGAUCACUUAACAUGCCUAAAAGCCUAAGCUCAAGACUGUAAAAAAUAAUAAUAAAAGUAGAAAAAGCACUUCUUUAGAAAGGGUCUCUGCUGUUGCACUACCAGAAGGCAAAAAGCAUAUUAUGCUAUGAGCCAGAAACUGUUGUGCUGUUCUAAACUGCAGCAAUGACUUGCAUAAAAAGACUUCAAGGCAUUUCCUCUUCUCCCUGAAGAUAGCCACGAGUCUUUCUACUGCCCCAGGAUGCACGCUGAAGUGACUGCAAGACAGGCGUAUCUUUUGCAUCCUAAACAACAGCCUUUAUUUAUCAAAGCACACAGAACAUGCAAUGGACAGUCAAAACAAAGCAAAACCAGCGAUUCCAAGUAUCCUAAGGAAACUUUGUUCCAAACUGAGCAGUAUGUCCCUCUCAUAGAUGGAUGUUACGUUGCCUGUUUAGCAAAUGCCCCUCUAUUUUCUUAAGUUCAUGCCUUAAGAAUUUUAUUUCACCAGCAUUUAUACACAGACGCCCACGAAGUUUUCAACAUAGCCUUGAAUUUGUGGUUUAACCUUUGUGAAGCAUGCUGGUAUUUUCAAGGAUGAAUUUGAAGCACAACCUCAUUUUAAGGUAUAUGUGGAAAAUACCAAGUUUGUCAGCAAUAAAUACCUUGGCAUAUAGAAAUUUUGCAAAGGAAAAAACCCACAAAAAUCCCAAAACAUAAUUACAGCAAAGCAGAUACUGUCAUCAGGCAGCGAUUUGCCAUCCUUACAUUUGCAGAAUAACAAUUCUAACUGAAUAUCUUCUGCCUUUUGCUAGUACCGUGUGAUAAACACAGCAUUUGAACGCAUGUGUACACGUAUAUAUUUUCCAUAUCUACAUGCUACGUAAGAAGUUCCUGAUAUUUAAACAAAGCAGAGACACAGAACCUAAAAAGGUGCCUCUCUUGCAGUGAGGACACAAUUCCUGCUCUAAGGGCCUGGGGCAGUUUGCCUCAAAUGCUAAUAGCUCAAGUUGUGUGCAAUAGCCCUAUACUGUUUAUAUAGCACUUCACAUGUUCAAAGCACUAUGAGAUAUCAGCCAUCACUACACUUUUAUGAGGCUCUAAGUAUUACCCACUAAAUGUUAAGGUUCAAAUGACUUGUUCUUGAUCAAAAGAAACUUUGUGCAGCAGGACCAUAAUUAUUUGAAUUCGGUAAUUCUGACAGUCCAUUCCUAUAGUGACUCAAAAAAAAAAAAAAAGGGGGAUGGGAUAUUUAAAGCCAGUUGCAACUGCACUUUGUUCUGGCUGUGUUAAGUACAGGCAUAAGGAGAAUCCCAAAGCUAACUCUCACAAAAGCAGCACCUGCCUCCAAAGAAAAUGAAAACUGAUGAAUUUUUUCUAUUUUAAAAGCACAAAAACUGUUUUUAAAGCCUCAGUCAUGUUUUUCUGAGUAUAUGUAUGUCAUAAUCACUGUGAAGAACCUAAAAGGUAAUACUGUACAGAAAUAGACUAGAAAACUUAAGAUGUAAAUCACAUCAUCUGCACUGAAGCAGGUUUUCCUUUUUUGCUGUUGCUGUUUUGAUAAAGGUUGGGGUUUGAUUUUUUCCUCCUCCUUUAGAAAUCAGGAGGAGAAGCAGGCAAAGACCAAGGCAACUUGCAAUAGGACUUAAAUCAAUACUUUUAGUAAUACAAACUAUUUUCCUGCUUUUAGACAGAAUUUCAUCCUAUGAAAACCCAGUUGCCAUUGCCAAUACUUAUUAACUCAGGAUCAAAAUAUCAACUCUCCCUUCCCAUAAAGGAAACACAAUGAAGCAGACAGUGAAAAGCAGCCAAUCAGUUUUGCUACCUACAUCUAAAUCCUUCCUUGAAAUAAGGAAUGUUGUGCUCAGGGACAUGGUUUAGCAGAGGGUUGUUAGAGUUCAGGUAGUAUGGUUAGGUUGCUGUUGGACCUGAUAGUCUUUAAGGUCUUUCCCAACCUGAGCAAUUCUAGGAUUCUGGGAUUCUAAUCAAGGCUGAAUGGAAUUAAUUCUGAAAAUUUUUGUACUUAUAUAUAAAUAUUGAGAUUUCAAAAUGAGAAAAUGAAAACUAUUUUAAAUUCACAGCCAGCACACAUCCUAUCAUACACAAUUUUCAUUCCCACAUCUUACAUUUUAACUUGCACAUAGCCUUUUGUUUCCAUAUAUACUGCAUUUUUUCAGAACACAGCUUUGCAAUUACUGCCUUUCAAAUCUUGUCUUCAGGAUCACAUGCAAAAUAUUUAGUACUGAGACAAAAAUGUAGGCCUCUACACACAACAAAGAUUCAACAAAUAAGGGAAGGGCUCCUGUUUAAACAGGGGAGGGUAAGAAAUUCCCUUCAAAAGCAGUACAUAGUACAGAGUUUUACUAACAGAACCUCUUGUGUUUUAGCCAAGUUGAUCUGCUGUUCGUAAUAUUUACUCCAUCUCUCCUACAACUUUUAUUAGACAUUGUUGGGUACAGGCCACUCAGAACUCUAUGCCAGGCUGUUUGCUAUAUCAAAAAAUCCAAAGUUACAUUACUGAGAUAUUUUCUAAAAUAUUAAAAUUUAAGCACAAUGUCGGUAGAUGAGUGUUGCUUCAUGGAUAUUAAUGUAAAAAGCAGUUACAAAUCUCCAUCUAUUGAUCUAAAGAACAGAUGUUUGCAUAUGAUUUAUGAACAUAGAAAUAUGUGCGUAUCUUCCAUAAAUAGUAACAUAUCCCAGUAACAAAAAAAAAAGUGGAGAACUGUUGUCCAAAAGAACUGGAAAAUGGCAUGCAGUAUUAGAAUAUAUUCACCAAUUGCUUUAUAUCUAAAGCCAAGAAAAGUUAACAGGUCCAGCACAGCAAUCCUCCAUGUUGGAAAAACACCAUUUCAAACAAGACUAACAUGAAGGAAUACUCACUCAAAUUGCAAACUCUGGUUCAAUUGCUCAGAUGUAAAAGUACAUUUAGAACAUGAGAAUGCAACUGUGAUCUAAUAAAUAAAAAUAGCAAUUAAUUUUCAUUGAGUUAUAAUUUUUUGCUGUAAGCAAAAGCCAACAAAACUCACAUUGCAUUGAGUAUCUUCACAUUAAAUUUUGAUUUUGAGGGGUUUUUAAAAUCAAAAUUUAAUGAAACAGUAAUCAGGUAAAAUUUUGGUGAGUAAAGCAUUCUUUCAAACACUAAAUACAUUAUCUUUGGAAGUACAGUUGAGUAUUUGACCAAAUAUUAUGACUGCUCCUCACAUUUGCUCUGUAGCUAAACUAGCCUGGCUAAUGAGCAUCCCACCUCAAACUGUCCCAUAAACAUGAGAUUACUUGACAGGUUUUACCUUAAAAGCAGAGUCCAUUUUUUGAGAACAGACUUGUAAGAAACCUAGUUAAAGGCUACAAGCACGUGAGUUUGCAGACUUGGAUAUGUACUGGUUUCUGGGCCAGCAGAACUACAAGAGAACCCAAGAAACUGCACAUUACACAGUGAUGUGUAUGCAUGUCACAGAAGUUUUGGGUUGGUUUAAGAAUAGACAUGGUAUUACUUUUUCACCUCCAAAAAGCAUUUCCUGUGUGCCAUGCUAUUUUUCUCUCCUGGAAAAUUAGUCAAGAACAUGGCUAAUUCUGCAUAACUUUAGAUUUCUCCAUACCAUUAUGUACAAUUGCAGUAUUCUCUCCUGACUGAGUGGCAAGCACGAGUACUUUGAAGUAUUAUACAGCUGCUACUCUCCUCCAGAAGCGGUGAUACUCCAGUAAAUACUCCCCAAAACAUCUUUUUCCAGCAGAGGUUUACAAAAACGUUACCACGUUUCCAUAGGUUGACACAAUACAAAAACAUCUGAUCAUCUAGUUGAAAAACGCUGGCCUUUAGCAUUACUGCAGAAAUAAUUAGGAGCCAUACUUCAACCAACUGCAGAAACAACUCCAGUUAGUUUUUGUAUAAUACAAUUAGAGUCUUAUAUUACAGGAAAGGUUAUUGGGUUCUCUUCUUGCAAUUUUUAAGAUCAAAGAAGAAAUGAACACUUUUCAUUUUGUCAGGUAAAGACCUUCCUUUUGAUGGCUGUACAGAGUCUUUAUUUCCAGCGUAUAACUCAGACAUCCACGAAUAAAUUGAAUCUCUAAUAACAACAGUCAGCUGGAUUUAAUUCCUCCUCUUGAUGGAAGCACAGCACUGUCAAUACACAGUGAGAUUUAGUAUUGCUGUUAAUUUACUGCAGGUAAAAUGUAGAUACAACAUGAAGAUCUAGCAUCUAAAAACAGCGUAAGAUAAACAGGAAAAAUAAAAAAGGAAAAGAUGAUAAAAAUUGAUGAGUGAUCAUUCUACUUCAUUUUUUUUUUCCAGAGGAGCAUCCAGGUGCCAGCUGGUGGAAAGGCAGAUGCCACUGAUUUCAGUGAACUUGCACCAGUUUACAAUAACUGAGAGUCUGAUCCCACAUGCAUUAGAGUUAUUUUUAGGCACUUGCAUUGGAACUCACUUCAGUGACAAUUAAAAAUACAUCCACACAUCACAUUACAUCCUGUUCCCAAGUGUAUGACUGGAAGCCUGUUGACAGGCUGUGGGAGAGGGCAAGUAGAAGUAGCCAAGAACUAUAUCCAUGAGAUAACUUUGUAAGAUAUUAACCCUGAAUUUCAGUUGUCUUUUCUUUUUUACUGUGACUCUUUGACUACAGAAAAAAUCCCAGCUCUUCACCUUCCAGUAGUAAUUCAAUGCUUGCAAAGGAAAAAAUAAAACUAACCACCACGCUGUAAGACCACGUAGAGCAUCUAAGUUAAAAAAAAAAAAAAAAAGACUGGUCUCAUCAUCUAGAAUUGUAAGCAAACCCCCAUACUGAGAUCUGUUUGUUCAACUAAGCACUUGUUCCAAGGGACUGCACUGCUGGACAAGCAGUAAAACUGUUAAAAAUACUGAAACAGCUGUUGGAAGCUCUAUUUCAGCAAGCAGUCAAUGUGAGGGAGGGAGAAACAAGAAAGGAAGAGGUGGAGCAAUAAUCAAGGCAGAGCAGUACUUCAUAACUCCAGCCAUCUUAGUAGGUAGAGAGAGCUAAAUAGUAAAUUGAUUUACAUAGAGCAGCUGUUAAGCAUGAAGAUAUUGCAUUAAAAAAAUCUUGUUACCAUUAUUAACUGCUACAAUGAAUAUUUGUCUUUUGAUUCAAGAUAGCAAGGUCAAAAUGGAAAAGCUAACUAAUUAAAAAUGAAGAUGUAGCUCACGUACCAACUGAAGUAAUUGUUUGUUUGUACAGCACGACACCCAUAUCUCCAAUUUAGGUCAGGCUAUCAAGAAGAGGAAAAGGGACUGAAGAUGAGAUGCUCUACUUCACACAGUUGCCCUCUGGAAGGGCUGGCAAAGGCAGUCACUUAAAUUAAGUACAGGUCAUCAGACAGGAUAUCUAAUCUAUUCCUAAAACAGGCAGCUCUCGCAGUCCAAAUCCCUAUGGCCUUUGCAGCAACACAACGAACUACUUCCUCAUGUACCUCUGUCAAUUCAUGUUAGGUUCCUAUUUUUUUUAAAGCGAUAUUUCAUGUACACCAUGACCCUAUUGCUCACAGCAAGGAAAGCGCUUUGGUUUAUUUAUGACCUACUAACCUUAAAUAAAAAAACCAUACAUCCAAUCUGAAUGUUCACAUAAGCCUGCAGAUCUGAAAUAAAACUUAAAAUAAAGCUGGCAUUUGUAAUAGCUAGCUAAGCCCAGUAAGGGAUUUAGAAAAAAAAAUUAAAAUUAAAACCAGAUGAGAGAAGAUGAAAGCAUUUUUACCCUGCAUAACCUGCACACAUCAUGAAUGAUGGCUGGAGCUCAGGAAUAUUUUUUUGUGUUUUUGUACUUACAAGUUUCAGCCCACUUCAACAGUGGCUAGGUAACCAAAGAAAUACUGAGGUUUUCCCAUUACAGGGUUGGGAGGGAAUAAUAACAACCCAUGAAAGCAAUUCCUUUUAAGAUGCAAUCCAUCCAGCCACGAGCUCUACACAGCUCCUCUCUUUUCCUUACACCCCAUCCUAACUGCCAGGUAUCAGUCUGGCCAGACCUCAUAUUGAAAUAUGAUGUGACAGAGGGAAGCAAGGAACAAGACCAUAGGAAUAAAUACUGAAAGAAAUGGCAUAAAGAAAGAAAGCUUAUAGCAGGGAAUAUGUGAAACACAAGUGACCCUAUAUAUAUUUUGCUAGAACAACAUUGAACAGAUGCAGGUGUACAACAGACUAUUCAGUUGAAGAGUUUAUAAAGAACUGUCAUAAAGAACUCCCUUCCUCUCUACAUCCAUGGGGUUGAAUUGUGAUAGGGACAGUACAAAUAAAUAAUAAAAAAAUCAAGCUUCAGACCUAAAAUAUCAACAGCAAACAUCUUCUGCUGAUUCAGCACCAAAAAAAGGGAGGAAAGGGCAUCUAUGCCACAGUUGGUUGGAACUAGAACUCACAGAUACUCAUGAUCACAGUGGAAUUCCUAAAUAAAAAAACCUGCAGAAAAGAGAAAUUCUUUACAUUCUGUUCUUCUGUAGUUCUCCAGCAGGAUAUAUUAAUGCCUCUGCUCUUUAGAUACUUUAGAUGUAUUUGAUAAAAAUACAGUUAUCUGUACAAGAAGAGCAAUUUGUUGAAAGAAACAGAUGCAACCAAGUUCUUGUCACAGCAUUUGUUUAAAAAAGAAAAUAUACUCAGGCAGCAUAUUUAUGACCUAAAGUCUUUUGGUGCUACCUCUCUACAAGACCAUUUUAUAAAAAUUUUUGUUUAAGUGCAGAAAGCAAUGAGAGAGUACCAGACCAGCUUGUCCUCUGGUAAAAAAUUUAACAAGUAGCAGCCCCUAAAAGCCAGUGAAUCACUCACAGUUUCACUGCAGUAAUCUAAGAGCAGCCCUAACUAAAAGAACUCAGACCAACAAAGCUGCAAGAGAACAAUCUUCUGCAGGAGAACUGCUAACAACCACGAGUAAGAAAGACAUCUGGGAAGCUGCCAGCUCCGUGCACGAAGAAGGAAAUGGGAAAGACAGAGAAGGGUGCUGGUAUUGACAUUUAAGGAUGCUGUGAAGUCAAUGGAGUUCUCUUGUAGUGGUUGCUUCAGUGAACAUUCAACGCUGUCGGCCUUCACACCGAAGAUAGAAACCUAACCAGCACAUGAGGUUUCUCCCCUACUCUGCCAUGCUUUACAAAAAAGGUCACAAUCAACAUUCAUUGCUGUCGGUGGGUUUAACUAUGUGGACAAGCUCACUGAACAAUGAAUGCAACUGUGGCCCCACAUUUUACAGGUGCAAUUGGGAGGAAUAUCAGCUCUGAAGGGAAUAGUGAGAAGCAGACAUUUCUUAUAGGUUACAUAUUUCCAGUCAAAAAAUAGAUGAGGAUAUUCUACUUUCACUUGUUUAUUCUUACGUGUAUUUAACUAUGUUGACAAAAAAACCAACACUGCAUGUUUCUGGAAUAUCACCCCCACAGGGUUCGGCAUCAUCGAAACCAAACUCAUUCUUGUCAAGUAUGCAUGUGGAAAUAAGUAAUAAUAUAGAGAAUUGUAUAUAUGUAUUCCUCAGAAUUGAGCCUAAGAGGAAAGGGUAUUUAAAUCUUAUCUUAACUAGGUAUUAUAGAAGAGACUUCUGUAAACUAUUCCAUAAUUGUCAAGACAAAAACAGGAACAGGAGCCAGAAUUCAGAAGCAUGGACAAAAUAGAUCAAAUAAAGAAUUCAGUAGUUUUACAUGACAGUGAUCUUAUGCACCUAAAUAAAUGGUAUCAGACAGUAAGCAUUUCUACAUUUGCCUUUUCUAAUGGUCCGAUUACAGAAAUAGAUGUAUACCUGGUAAUUAACAAACACUAGUUAAAUUGUAAAAUUACUCUAAACUUUGGGUACUUGUGUCACACUCAGUAUUGCUAUCACUAAUGAAAAAAUAAAAGUAUAAUUAAAGCUCACUGCUCUGUCCUUAUUUCCUUACAACCUUUGUUUAAUUUAAUUGGAAAAGUAGAGCCCAGUCUACAUUUCUACCUUUCAGAAGUCAUCCAAGGUAAGUGCAAGCCUUCACACAGCACCAUUUACCAUUUCGAUAGAUAGAAUUGUUUCUAACAUUUAGGCAAUCACACAACGUUCCUAUUUUCUUCUUAAAAAAGCUGCGGUCUAUUAACAAUACUUCAGUUUGGUUAUUUACACAUUAACUUCAGCACUGCAGUUAUGCAGUUCUCUAGCUCACUGUCCUUGCUUGUCAUAUGCAGUUUUCACCAUGCAGCACUGGAAUAGAAUACAACCAUCAGGGCUA